rnacentral:rRNA from 1 species
CCUACGGGAGGCAGCAGUGAGGAAUAUUGGUCAAUGGACGAGAGUCUGAACCAGCCAAGUAGCGUGAAGGAUGACUGCCCUAUGGGUUGUAAACUUCUUUUAUAUGGGAAUAAAACGUUCCACGUGUGGGAUUUUGUAUGUACCAUAUGAAUAAGGAUCGGCUAACUCCGUGCCAGCAGCCGCGGUAAUACGGAGGAUCCGAGCGUUAUCCGGAUUUAUUGGGUUUAAAGGGAGCGUAGGUGGAUUGUUAAGUCAGUUGUGAAAGUUUGCGGCUCAACCGUAAAAUUGCAGUUGAAACUGGCAGUCUUGAGUACAGUAGAGGUGGGCGGAAUUCGUGGUGUAGCGGUGAAAUGCUUAGAGAUCACGAAGAACUCCGAUUGCGAAGGCAGUUCACUGGACUGCAACUGACACUGAGGCUCGAAAGUGUGGGUAUCAAACAGGAUUAGAUACCCUAGUAGUC